GGCCACCUUUCAGUGCUCAGGAUUUCUAAGCCUUCUCCCCACCCUCCUUGGCCAGCUCAGCACUGGCAGGAGCACUUGACAACCUGCUGGAGACUUCCCUGAGAACUGCAUUUAGGAUCUGGCCCAGAGCCGCAAAAAGGGAAGCAGCAUCCUUGCCAGUUCCUAGACUGUCCUUCAAGGCUCAGUGCAAAGGGAAGAGGCUGGGGUUGGGCAUCCACAGACCUAAUGGACAACAUCUAAGUGGACAUACUCUUGCUGGCCCAGAUAUCUGCUUUUGCAAAUGCUACCAGGGAAAACACUUUCACAACUAGGAGGAGGCAGAAAAUGCUUUCCAAGCGUUCCUCAAAUCCUGACUUUUAUGCUGCAGGAAUUAACAAACGUAUUUCUUGUUGGCAAAAUUGUACUGAUUGUAAUGGAUUCUAUUUUGGUUAAUAAAGAUAUGCUUGAGCCUAGUUAUAAUGAUUUAAAAAUCCACAGUCUGAAACAGCAAUUACUUUUGUACCAAUAUAAUAUUUAUCAGCGUUCUCCUGAUGGCAUCUACCAAGCUUAUAGAAUGGCUCUCUUAGGUUUGCACUCUCCCUAGAUCCAAUCAGAUCCAAGGAUGGUGAUCUAUGAAG
ensembl:lncRNA